CUCGCCAGUGUAGCCCUUGGCGUUAUUCCAGGACCAGCGUCUUCUGUACGCUUACUCUGGGGUUCAGACUUCUGCGCCCCUGGCCGGCGGUGGCGCGCCUCCUCCACGCCUCUCUCCAGCCCUGAGCUCUCUGCGGCCGAAAGUGGCCGGGCAAGCGUUGCCAUGACAGCACCGCGGGUGGGGAUGCGGAGGGCAGAGCGCGCCGGCCCGCUAGCCCCUUUGUGCGGAAGGGGCGGCGGUGUGCUCCCCCCAGCCCGGCUGCACCCCGCUUUCCCGGCCAGGACUCUGGGCGAGGGAAAGGGGAGGGUUAGGUGUGGGGCUGUAGGGGCGCAAGGAGGAGGGAGAAGGGUGGAGGCGAGGGCCGCGGGUGGGGCGCCUCCGCCCGCCAGCCGCUCCCGCAUUAAAAUUUCAUGGGCGCUGCAGCAGCUACAAAGACGACGCCGGCUGCGCUCGGGGGACCGGAGGGAGGGAGGCUGCGGACGAGUGCGGGGAGGAGUUUGAGGUGGGAGGUGCUUGCAGGGACUCCCCCAGUUCUGCGCUGUGAGCCGGGGCACAAAGAGCCCUCUGCACUCGCGCCGCAGGACCGCGGACCCGAGGUCCUUUCUCUGGCUGUGAUCCAUGCUUCUUCCCCGGGCAGGAUGACACUCUUUGAAUUUCCUUAUUCAUCAAGGCAGUGCAGGGUGGUGGAAGGAGACGCAGCUGAGAGUUAUGCAGUUGGAGGCAUCUGUCCACCCACGUGGUUCCAGACACCUUCAUGUGGCCACCAUAACCCCAUCGGCAUCACAGGAGUAGCCAAGGUCCACAGAGCCAGGGGAAACAGUCACUGUGGACCAAGCCAGGCUCCUCUGAGCAGCCCAGGGUCUAUUUACAGAGAGCAGCAAGUUCCUGGGACAGAGGAGAGAGAAGGGAAUUUCCAGGUUCUUCAGGACGUUCACAACCAUGCUGAGAAGCAUCCUUGCAGUCCUAGGUGCUGA
rnacentral:lncRNA from 1 species